rnacentral:lncRNA from 1 species
UUUUUUUUUUUUUUUUUUUUAAAGUAAGUGCUAUACCCAACAAGGGGCUUGAACUCAUGACCCCAAGAUCAAGCGUUGUGUGCUCUACUGACUAAACCAGCAAGUGCCCUCUUUUUAUGUGAUUCAACCAGGGGAUUCUUCUGUGUGUACUUGAAGAAGGUGUGCAUUCUAUUUUUCUUGGAUAGAAUUUUUUUUUAUAUUAGAACCAACCAUGUAUUCUGAAGUAUGCUUCAUGUGAAGAAUAUUCUUGUUGAAAAAAAGACAGUAACUUUAACUGAGGUUACUGCUUUAAAAUAAAACAUAUCAGAGGGGCAGUGGGUGAAAUAGGUAAAGAGGAUUAAUAGUACACUUAUGAUGAGCCCUGAGUAAUGAUGUAUGGAGUUGUUGAAUCAUUAUAUUGUACAUCUGAAACAAGUAUAAAACUGUAUCUUAACUAUACUGGAAUUAAAAACUUAAUUUGAAAAAAAUUUGUUUUCAGAAUUUUCAUGGUGUACAUUUUGGUAUACAUUCUCAGAUGAAUUUAUCAUGGUAAUGAUAUAUAAAAGAAAAACUUAGUUUCAGCGAAACAAUGCCCAAAAUAUGAAGCUAGUAUUAUUAAUUAAAAUUUAUUAGAUACAUUAUUAUGUAUGUAUUUACUUUUAUGUUUUUAUCUAUGAGCUAUAAAUACCAGAAAUGUAUUGUUGACUUUAUGUUUAUAUUCAUUUAGGAAAUAUUAUAAUAAAAAUAAGUUAAUACUGGCAACUUCAAAAAGAAAAAAGUUAGGGAUUGAGAGAUGACCAAAUUGAGUAUAGUUUUGUAAUCAGCCAGUUGGGAACUCCUUACUGUGGAUUUUAGAGAUGGUAAAUUUUGGUUGAGCUGAUUAUCAGUUUUCUGUGUAGAAGGUAGUCAGAGAUGGAUGUUCAUUUGGACACAUACAUGUAAAUGUACCCAGUGAAGUUCAGUUCCAUGGUCAGGCCCAGCAGCUGGGGAUCCACCUGGGGAAUUUUGACUAAUCUACACAAUAGAAAUUAUAUUUGAGUAAGCACACUUUGUAGGUAAGCGAUUAUGUAGGCUUACGUUGUUAUUUAUGUGUUUCCAACAUUGACUUUAUAAAUUAUAUAUAGUCAAGGACUGUUGGGAUUAUAUACCCCAUAGUCUGCUGGAGGCUUGGGAAGGAGGCAGUCUAUUGACACACUGAUCCCUUAGGGCUUAGGUUAAGCAUCUCUUAGUGCUUAUUAGAAUUAGGGUAGGAUAGAGCACAAAUGCAUUUUUGCUGCAUUGUUAAGGGGUAAGAACUUGUCACAGGGAUAGGAAUAACCUCCGUGUUUGAUAAAGCAGCUGGUCACAGGGAUAGGAAUAACCUCCAUGUUUGAUAAAGCAGCUGGUCAGAGAUUAAUAGGGAAGCCUAUGAAUAGGCUCAAAAUGGUAUUGGGGCCUGGGAAAAAAAGCAAAAUAAAAUUACAUUAUUGAAUAAGAAUGUGUAAGGUACUGGUGUGAAUAAUAAAAUAAGCUGAGUAGAGUGUAUUUUGAAGUUAAUAUUCAUUUUCCAUUAACAGAUGUUUUCUAAGGGCCUGUUAGAUGAUCAGCAUUGUGCUGAAUACUGGGGUUGCAGUUAUAAACAGGACAAAGGGUCUCCAGCCUUUGUGGAGAGAUUAUGUUUCAGCUGUGAAGACAGACGGGGACUUGUAUUUAAAGAAACCCCAAACUGCCUUACAGAAAGGGAAAACAGAUAUACAGAAAUAAUAAUUACCAUGAGGAAAACAAACAAAGGAUGAGUUUUAGAGCGGGAUUCUACUUGGGUUUGGAAGGCUUUCCUGAGGAGAUGAUAUCUAAACUGAGACUUAAUGAAGAAAAGGUGCUAGCUACAAAAGGUGUGCAGGACUCUCGGGGUACCAAACUGCAUGCGUGAAGACUCUAUAGCCAGGUAUGUGCUCUGGUGUUCAGGGAACUGAAAGAAGUCUGAUGUGGCUGGACUGAAGGGCAGUGGAAGUAGGCAGAGGAAUGCUGUGGCACAAGGUAAGAUUGAAAAAUGAGGCUAGGGUCAAAUCCAGUAGAGUUUGGCUGUUAGGAAAAUUGUCUGGCUGCUAGACUAGAAGAGCAGAGUAUAAGAUUGGAGGCUGAUAGUAUAGUCAUCCAGGUAAGAGAGGGUGGUAUUCUGGUUUAGGGUGGUAACAGUAAAGAUGGAAAGAGGGAAACUGGAAGUAUAUUUUUCUUUUCUUUUUUCUUUCUUUCUCUCUCUCUCUCUCUUUUUUUUUUUUUUUUUUAGAAAUUUCAUUUAUUUAUUUGGCAGAGAGAGAGAGAGCACAAGCAGGGUGAGCAGCGGGCAGAGGGAGGGGCAGAAGCAGGCUCCCUGCUGAGGAAGGAGCCCAAAGUGGGGCUUGAUCCCAGAACUCUGGGAUCAUGACCUGAACUGAAGGCAGACACAUAACAAGCUGAGCCCACCUAGGGCCCCUGGAGGUGUAUUUUUUGAAGAAGAAUUGACAAGCUGAUGGAUAGACAACAGAGGUGGUGGUGGGGGUAUGUUAGAGGAAAGAGCGAAAUUAACAGGUUUGAGUCUAUUGGGGGAAAUGGUGGUACCUGUUCUGAAAUGGGGAAGAUUCAUGGUGGGAAGUAGUUUGGCAGACAGGAUCAAGAAUCUGAAGUAGGAACAGCAUGAUUUGCAGAUGUUGUGUCACCAGGGCAAUGUGACUGUAAUAUUGUGCCUAGAGCUGGCUCUUCUCAACUGUGUAGAUAGCCCUGUGAAGAUUUGGCCUUGCUGACAGGGAAACCAGAACUAGGUAUUGGCUUCUUCUGAGGCAGGCUGGACAUGUGAAUAGUCCUCAGGGUCUCUGCCUGCUUUGUAGGAAUAGGCGGACAGGCUCAGCCUGCCGGGCAGUGCCCUCUUUACACUCAACAAGACUCUUUGUUACUGCCCUCAGUGCUGCUGGGGCAGUGCCCAGCCCCUCUCUUGAGGUGCCCUGUUGGUUGCUCUCCUUGUCCCACUUUCGUCCCCACCCUAGAUAGACUGAGGGCAUUUUUGCUGUUUUUAAACUAUAGUAGAUAGAUUUGAUUAGUUCCUGAUUGCAAUGAAAGCACGGAAAAAAAAAAGAAAUAAAAGCACAGAAUAUGAAAAAUACUAAACUUAAUCUGAAAAAAAGAUACAGAGUUGGGUUUAGUUAGGCAAAGCAUCUAUCAAGGUUGAUCAAACCACAAAUUAGUAUUUAUAAUAUUCUCUUAAGCUGUUUGCCUGGGCAUGGAGAAAAAAUAAAAUGAAAUAGAUGAGUUGCUGAUUUUUAUGGGAAAGAUAAUUUUAGUCUGGAAAUUUAAAGUAACUUUUUAGUCUUUAAUAUAGCAAAGAUAUGUAUCUACAAACAGAGUUGUAAAUAUACCAUGGUCAUUUUUUUUAAAGAUUUUAUUUAUUUAUUAGAGAGAGAGAGAGAGAGAGAGAGAGGCAGAGACACAGGCAGAGGGAGAAGCAGGCUCCGUGCAGGGAGCCCGACGUGGGACUGGAUCCUGGUUCUCCAGGAUCAUGCCCUGGGCUGAAGGCGGCGCUAAACCAUUAAGCCACCAGGGCUGCCCAUCCAUGGUCAAUUUUACUAAAAAAAAAAAAAAAAAAAGUUCUGUUUUGGAUAUAUUAAAUGUAAAAUAUGAGACAUUCAGAUAAAAAUGCCAGACAGGCAGUUGAACAUGCAUUGGAGAGCCAAAACUAUCAAUUUGAAGUUGCCAUUAUAAAGAUACUUAAGUCCACUGAAAUGACGAAUAUAUGUACAGAAAGGGUAUAGAAAAAAAGAUGACCCAGGACCAAAGGACCAAGCCUUCUGACAUCAUAGCACUUAGAGAUGAAUAAAGAGGAAGGAGUUUGUCUUCUAGGGAGUAGGGGGAAAACCAGGAGAGUACUUAAUUCUUAGUUGAGUAGGUCUGAAAUUGAUCAUGAGUAAAAUUUUCAAGUGAAUAAAAAAGUGGAAUAAGAUUGUAAUUAUUUACUCUCCUUCCCAGGACAGUAAUAAGUAAAUAAAGAUUAUCAAGUUACAUGGAAAUUUCAAGAGCACAGUUGACUCUUGAAUAAUGGAGGGGUUAAGGUCACCAACUCCCUCCCCCCCCCCCCCCCCCGUUAAAAAAUCCGCAUACAACUUUUGACGCCCCCAGAACUUAACUACUAAUAGCCUACUGUUCGCCAGAAGCCUUACCGAUAAGAUAAACAAUUGAUUAACACAUAUUUUAUAUGUUACAUGUAAUACACUCUGUAUUCUUACUGUAAACUAGAGAAAAAAUGUUAAAAAAAUAAAAAACA